rnacentral:lncRNA from 1 species
AACGCCAAUCCCAAUGAUGCUGUUCUGCCCGCGCAAUGUGGAAUAUUAAGUGUUACUGGCACAAGAAAUUCGAGCCCUUGUGGACCACACAUUACUAAGGGAGAUAACAUUGUUUCACCUACGAAUAAAUAUUAAAUAUGCUAUGUCAACGGAAAACAUAUUUACCAGACGCAAUAAAGAGGUACUUAUGCUUACCACUAUAUUAUUCGGGAUAUAGUCUGGGAAUUUCAUUUUCAUGGAAUGCGAAUGGUCACAGAUGAACAGGCGGCGAAGACCAAUAUUAGAUUUAGCACUAUUUUACUAAUUUAGUGUUGCAUGUCCUAGGAAGAUUUUCAUAACUAAUAAAUACUCUCAAAAAUCUGGACCCAAAAUCACACAAACAAAUUGGAUAUUCACAGGGAUUUAUUCUCAAAUGUCUUUACAAUUAUGAUGACAAGGCACACGCCUGUUUGACCGACAGAAAUAUUUUCAUAUGAAACAUAAGCAAUUAAAUAUAAAUUAAUGUAUUAUUAUUCACUUAAGACUCUAGUGUGUUAAUAAACUAUUUUUGUUUA